ensembl:lncRNA
UAGGGCAACAGUGUCUAGAUGGAAUUUGUAUUUGUGGUCCUGGUGACUGGACCUUUUUUGGAAAACCAUUAUUUUGGUCUUACUGAGAUUUACUGUCAGGGCCCAGGUCUGACAGAAUCUGUGCAUAAGAUCUAGGUGCUGCUAUAGGCCCUCCUUGGUUGGUGACAGAAGCACCAGAUCAUCAACAAACAGCAGACAUUUGAAAUAUGUGUGCUUUUUGCCAAUUUUAACCGCGCACUUGUUGUUUGUGUACAUGGAUUUUAUAAUGUCGUAUGUUUUACCCCCAACACCACUUUCCAUCAGUUUGUAUAGCUCUCUCUCUCUCCCCCAAUUCUCUCUCUCGCUCUGUUCAUCUUUCUUUCUGUCACACUCUCCAUUUCAUUGUUCAAUUCGAAGGGGUUUAUUGGGAAACAUCUAUGUUUACAAAAGGGAAAUUAACAAGGGAAAUAAACAGUAAACAAAUGUUUUUGAAUUUUUUUAAACCUAGCAAGUUGCACAAUAUUCAACCCACUAGUGGUUCGAGCGUUGGGCCAGUAGCCAGCAGGUAGCCUAGUGGUUAGAGCGUUGGGCCAGUAGCCAGCAGGUAGCCUAGUGGUUAGAGCGUUGGGCCAGUAGCCAGCAGGUAGCCUAGUGGUUAGAGCGUUGGACCAGUAACCAGCAGGUAGCCUAGUGGUUAGAGCGUUGGGCCAGUAGCCAGCAGGUAGCCUAGUGGUUAGAGCGUUGGGCCAGUAACCCAAAAGGUUGCUGGAUUGAAUCCCUGAGCUGACAAGGUAAAAAUCUGUUGUUCUACCCCUGAACAAGGCAGUUAACCCACUGUUCCCUGGGUGCUGUGGAGGUUGAUUAAGGCAGCCCCCCGCACCCAGGUCUGUCAGGGCCCAGGUCUGUCAGGGCCCAGGUCUGUCGGGGCCCAGUUCUGUCGGGGCCCAGUUCUGUCGGGGCCCAGGUCUGUCGGGGCCCAGGUCUGUCAGGGCCCAGGUCUGUCAGGGCCCAGUUCUGGCAGAAUCUGUGCAGAAGAUCUAGGUGGUGAAGCACCAGAUCAUCAUCAAACAGUAGACGUUUGACUUCAGAUUCUAGUAGGUUGAGGCCAGGUGCUGCAGACUGUUCUAG